CCGAGGGUUGGCACCCUCGGCUGUUAUAGUGUCACCCUUUCAGGGUU
rfam:Cyclobacterium marinum DSM 745, complete genome.